ACUUCGAUAGGCCGACGAAAUCUGCUGCAAUUCCGCAUCGGUAGGCGUGUAAGAAGCGUAAGUUCUCAGACGUGCUCUAGACAUCUCCAAAUCCUGCCGUAAAAAUAAUAUAUAUUCGUCAAAAACACUUCCAAUAUCAAUACCGCCGCUCUUCGCCAUUUCGUGGAACCGGUUGUGGUCUACUAUACGCGAGUAUAAUUAUCAAUAUUCAUUCACAAUUAAUGUUUUUACAAUUAUUAACCCUGAUUAUUCUAUAAUAAGGAAGCAGAAAGGAAAACUAUCGUACGUUCACUAGUGUACUGUAGAUUGCAUGGUUUCCAUGGUAACUUUCUUUCCUCGUACUCUUAAAAACAAUCAAUAUUUAUGUAUGAACUAUGGCAAUAUAGCAGUGUGAUAUUCAUUUAACAUUUAACGAGUAGAAAGAAGAUCCCAUUGUCGAAUUUAUUUAUUCUCCUAAAGACUGCGAUUUCGGCUGCAAAAAUAUAAUAUAUUACAAUAUAG